AGCGAACGCUGGCGGCAGGCUUAACACAUGCAAGUCGAACGCCAUCUUCGGAUGGAGUGGCAGACGGGUGAGUAACGCGUGGGAACGUACCCUUUGGUUCGGAAUAUUCUCGGGAAACUGAGAGCAAUACCGGAUAAGCCCUACGGGGGAAAGAUUUAUCGCCAAAGGAGCGGCCCGCGUCAGAUUAGGUAGUUGGUGGGGUAAAGGCCUACCAAGCCUACGAUCUGUAGCUGGUCUGAGAGGAUGAUCAGCCACACUGGGACUGAGACACGGCCCAGACUCCUACGGGAGGCAGCAGUGGGGAAUCUUGGACAAUGGGCGCAAGCCUGAUCCAGCCAUGCCGCGUGGAUGAUGAAGGCCUUAGGGUUGUAAAAUCCUUUCAACGGGGACGAUAAUGACGGUACCCGUAGAAGAAGCCCCGGCUAACUCGUG
rnacentral:rRNA from 1 species